CACAAUUAAUAUUUCAUUAAAACUUAAGAUAAUAAUAUUUAGCAUCCCUUACCUAACAAAUGACCAAACCGUUCUAGAAGACUUAAAACAACUCCAAACGUACAGAAAACCCAUAUACUCCUGUAAAUAACAAAAAAACAUGAUUAUGGUACCCUGUUUUGACUUUAUAAACAUAUAGUCUAAUAGAAAAUUGAAACAUCACAUGCAUUCACAACUGACUCGCAUGUAAAUGAAAACAAAACAAACAAAAAAAAAACAACAAAAAAACAACUUAUUAUAUAUGAGAAAUUGAUUGGUCUAAACUGAAAAGUUCAUUGCAUCAAUCUUACGGUCUC
rnacentral:lncRNA from 1 species